rnacentral:lncRNA from 1 species
ACAAGUCAUUUAUUAAGACAUGCAGCUCUGGGAUCAACACAGAGAAAACUCGGAUUUUCCCUACUUUCUGAAGUUAGAUGGGCAUACAGGUCUAUAAAGUUACUACUAGAGACCUUGUUGCACACAUAAAUAGAGUGAAAACAAGACAAGUUGCAAGAUUAAACGAACCAACGCAACAACAUAUAUUGAAGAAUUCCAG